AUAUUUGAAAAAAGAAAUAUUUAUACAAUUAAAUAGACAACAGUUGGUGUUUUGACCAGGCUUUUGUAAGAGAAAAAAUAUACCCAGGAAAAGUAAAAUAACGUCCCACGUGGGGACUCGUUUAAUUACAAGUUACGUUGUUUAGAUAUGCAUUUAUUCGUUUAAUUUUUAUUGCAGAACAAUGGUACAAGCAAUUGAUGAAAUGGAACAAAGGGAUCUCCCACAGGCUAUUCGCUUGUUGGGGGAAAUGAAUGCUAAUGUUCUGCAAGUAAACCAACUUGUAGAUAAUAUGUUGGUGCGUGUAAAAAAUGGAGAAAUCUCAACGGACAAGGGUUUUAGUUUCUUAGAGAUGAAGUAUCACAUGUUACUUUCCUAUCUUAUUAAUUUAACUUACGUAGUCUUAAGAAAAUGUUCAGGUGAACGUAUCGAAGGUGACCCCUCUAUUGAUCGCCUUAUUGAAAUCAGGACAGUCCUAGAAAAAAUCCGACCAAUAGAUAACAAGCUUAAAUAUCAAAUAGAUAAACUUGUUAAGACUGCAGUAACUGGUACCACUAAUAGUAAUGAUCCCACUAAUUUUAAAGCAGAUCCUGAUGCAAUAAUUGCUAAGAUUGAUAGUUUUGAUGAAGAGUCGGAUAGUGAUCAAGAAGGUGAUGAAGAUGGUUUUAAAUCAUCUCAAACCAGAAAAUCAAAUAUUUAUGUGCCACCAAAACUUGCUGCCGUUCACUAUGAUGGAGAUGAAACAGCAGCAGAAAAGAUGCGUAAGGCUGGUGAAAGAGCCCGCAGACGUGCAGUCUCUGGUGCAGUAUUAAGGGAAUUAAAAGAAGAAUACCUAGAUGCACCGAUAGAAGAUGCACAAGGGUUAAUUGAAAAACAAGCCAGUCUGGGGCGUGAAAAUAAGCGAAAAAUUGAAUAUGAAGAAAAUUACAUGACACGUUUACCUGUUACCAAACAAGAAAAACAUAGACGCCGUCAGAUGACAACUCUUGGUACUCUUGGUGAUGAAAUUACUAGUUUCGGAGAGACUUCAUCUGUACCAUCUAAAACAAGAAAAACUCAGAAAAAAGGAAAAGCUAAAAAAAGUUUUAAAAAGAAACGGCACCACUAAAUCAGCUUUAUAGUAACUUAUAGAGCAGAAUUUCAUACAACAUUAAUUAUUAAGCUCAUAACAUCUAGUAAUGAAAGACUACCAUCGAUGGUGAAGUGAAAUAGCACGAUGGUAAUUUAUUACUGUAUAAGACAUACUAAUGGUCGUGUAAUUAAUACUUAUAGUUAAUACUGAUUUUAACCUUUAACUGUUGUCUCUGAAAUCAAUUUUUAUCUAUGGAGUUGAAAUAUUCCAUCAAAAAGAAGAAAUAGUAUAUUGGUAUGAAAGGAACAAUUCUCCAAUAAUAUAUGUGGGGUAUAUACGAGCUUAAUUUAAUAAAACAAAGAUUCUCAUCAUGUAUAUGGUUAAGAAACUAAUGGAUUUCGGCUCCAAGAUUUAAAAUUGUAAGUUAAGCAUAAAAGUUGAAAGUAGGCAAUGGGUCUGCUUUAUUUUGAGAUAUUCUCCAGCUAUAAAUAAUGGAAUCAAUAACAUAGCAGGAAGAAUGAUAUUGAAUUAAUUGUUAAAUAAGCGUAAAAAUCACAAGACAUUCCGUGCAAAGUUACGAAAUUCGUGUUUAACAUGGAAAAAAAAAAAAAAAAAAAA
rnacentral:misc_RNA from 1 species